AUCAUGGAGAGUUUGAUCCUGGCUCAGAACGAACGCUGGCGGCGCGUCUUAAGCAUGCAAGUCGGGCGGCAGGGGGGAGCAAUUCUCCCGAGAGCGGCGGACUGGUGAGUAACGCGUGGGUGACCUACCCUGAGGAUGGGGAUAGCCAUUAGAAAUAGUGGGUAAUACCGAAUACGCUUGUUCCGCGACGGUGGGGCAAGGAAAGGAGCUCAGGCUCCGCCUGAGGAUGGGC
rnacentral:rRNA from 1 species